AGAGUUUGAUCCUGGCUCAGGAUGAACGCUGGCGGCGUGCCUAACACAUGCAAGUCGAACGGUCUCUUCGGAUAUAGUGGCGGACGGGUGAGUAACGCGUGAGGAUCUGCCCUUAGAUGGGGGAUAACAGUUGGAAANGACUGCUAAUACCGCAUGAGCCGAGAGGUAAAAGAUUUAUUGUCUAAGGAUGAACUCGCGUCUGAUUAGCUAGUUGGUGAGGUAAGGGCUCACCAAGGCGACGAUCAGUAGCUGGUUUAAGAGGAUGAUCAGCCACACUGGGACUGAGACACGGCCCAGACUCCUACGGGAGGCAGCAGUGAGGAAUAUUGCACAAUGGGCGCAAGCCUGAUGCAGCAACGCCGCGUGGGUGAAGAAGGUCUUCGGAUCGUAAAGCCCUUUUCUGUGUGA
rnacentral:rRNA from 1 species